GGAUCUGUUGGUACUCGUGGAUGGUGAGCUGUACAUGAACCAUCAAUGUGCUGUCGCAGCCCAGGAUGCCAACCGUAUCUUGGGCUGCAUCAAAAGAAACGUGGCCAGCAUUUCUUUGGACAUGAUCCUGACCCUUUUCUCUACUUUGGUGAGGCUUCACCUGAAGUAUUCUGUCCAAAUGUUGAUUCCUCAGCACAGGAGAGUCAUAGACCUGUUGGUGCACAUCCAGCGUAGGGCUGCAGAAAUUUUCCAUGCACCGGAACUCUUCUCCUACGUGGACAGGCAGAGAACUGGGGCCGUGCAGCCUGGAGAAGAGAAGGCUUGAAGACCCUCGGCUGCUUGCUGGACAAGCUGUGUUACUUCACUUUGCCAUGUGGGGAGAGUCCGGUGGCAGUCUGCGAUGGCAGCUUCACCAUUCCAGUCAGUUCUUGAGCAAAACAGUUGGUGUUUCUCAUCCUGGAAGAGUCUUGCAGAGCGGACUCUCAUCUUCAGCCCUUGCCGGCUCGGCUGGAGCUGGGCUCAGCUGUUCCCGUGUUCCCGUGACGGAGCCCUCGAGCUCUGUGCUGACUGCGCUGCUGAGCUGCAGCGCUCCUCUGACAGCUCUGUCCAUCCCAGGAGCACAGCCAUCCCAGCGCCGCGCUGUCCUUCAGUCGGGGACGUCCCUGCAGCGCUCAGCAGGCACCGCCGC
rnacentral:lncRNA from 1 species